UACGAAGGGGGCUAGCGUUGUUCGGAUUUACUGGGCGUAAAGCGCGCGCAGGCGGCCAUUCAAGUCAGGGGUGAAAGCCCAGAGCUCAACUCUGGAACUGCCCUUGAAACUGUAUGGCUUGAGUAUGAGAGAGGUGAGUGGAAUUCCCAGUGUAGAGGUGAAAUUCGUAGAUAUUCGGAAGAACACCAGUGGCGAAGGCGGCUCACUGGACCGUUGUUGACGCUGAGGUGCGAAAGCGUGGGGAGCAAACAGG
rnacentral:rRNA from 1 species